rnacentral:lncRNA from 1 species
GUAACAACAACAUGCCCUACCGCAAUGCUUGCCAGCCUGGAUGGCUUACCUCACAUAGACAGGAAGCACAGGACCAUCUUCAUAGCAAUGUUGGCAUGUUCUCACACAGAUUAGUCGCAAAUGUGGGCCAUGGGAAUCUUUGAAGCCAUUUGUUUCCUCUGCGGUUGGCCAAGUCUUAGAGCUCCUUUUAACUGGCCCUGUGAGUAUGAUGUUGGCAAAGACACAUGGCAAAGGCAGGCUAACCCAGCCAAGGAGCCAUUUCAUCAACAAGGGACAGGAUUUGCUCUGGAAAGCUUGGUGGUUGCAGCUUCUAACUCAAUGACCAUGUUCCCAGUUCACUGUUAAGUGCACAAAGUUGAAGAAUGUUGAGCCUUCAAAAUCUGCCUGUUAUACUGACACCCAGGGAGAAGUGCCUCAAAAUUCAAGUUUCACUUCCAAAGCAAAUUGCCUAGAGAAACAGCAUGUUGUUAUUUAGUUGAGGAAGUCUGACCCUAAUCUGAAGUUUCACCUAAUUCAGAUGUCAAGGCCAUACUGUCAACAUAUUGUGGCAACACAUAUAAUGAAAAAUUCAUAAUGUAUUAUUUGGAAAAUAGGGUAUGAUAGCAGGUAAAGAGGCCCAUCUUAAUCUCUCCAGGACAGUCACACUUUACAUUUUGCUAGACUUCAUAUGAGAAGGGGAAGUUAGAAAAAGAAGUGAGAGAUAAUGUUUGAUAGCCGGAAGUGCCAUUCAAAAUAACUACCAAUAAAAA